rnacentral:rRNA from 1 species
UACGUAGGGGGCUAGCGUUGUCCGGAAUCAUUGGGCGUAAAGCGUGCGCAGGCGGUUGUGCAAGACCGAUGUGAAAUCCCCGGGCUCAACCUGGGAAUGGCAUUGGUGACUGCACGGCUAGAGUGUGUCAGAGGGGGGUAGAAUUCCACGUGUAGCAGUGAAAUGCGUAGAGAUGUGGAGGAAUACCGAUGGCGAAGGCAGCCCCCUGGGAUAACACUGACGCUCAUGCACGAAAGCGUGGGGAGCAAACAGGAUUAGAACCGG